UGGGGAAUAUUGCACAAUGGGCGCAAGCCUGAUGCAGCCCUGCCGCGUGUCUGAAGAAGGCCUUCGGGAUGUAAAGUACUUUCAGCGGGGAGGAAGGCGAUAAGGUUAAUAACCUUGUCGAUUGACGUUACCCGCAGAAGAAGCACCGGCUAACUCCGUGCCAGCAGCCGCGGUAAUACGGAGGGUGCAAGCGUUAAUCGGAAUUACUGGGCGUAAAGCGCACGCAGGCGGUGUGUCAAGUCGGAUGUGAAAGCCCCGGGCUCAACCUGGGAACUGCAUUCGAAACUGGCAGGCUAGAGUCUUGUAGAGGGGGGUAGAAUUCCAGGUGUAGCGGUGAAAUGCGUAGAGAUCUGGAGGAAUACCGGUGGCGAAGGCGGCCCCCUGGACAAAGACUGACGCUCAGGUGCGAAAGCGUGGGGAGCAAACA
rnacentral:rRNA from 1 species